rnacentral:rRNA from 1 species
AACGUAGGAGGCAAGCGUUAUCCGGAGUUACUGGGCGUAAAGCGCACGCAGGUGGCUGAGUCAGUCGAUUGUGAAAGCCCUGGGCUUAACCUGGGAAUUGCAGUCGAUACUACUCAGCUAGAGUAUGGGAGAGGGUAGUGGAAUUCCCGGUGUAGCGGUGAAAUGCGUAGAUAUCGGGAGGAACAUCAGUGGCGAAGGCGGCUACCUGGCUCAAUACUGACACUCAGGUGCGACAGCGUGGGGAGCAAACAGG